AGUAACAUUAGACGAGGGAAACAAAAUUGGCAGCCUAGGUGCAUCAUGGUGAAACUUUCAAUACUCAGUAUUCGCGCUCUUUACACCUGUCACUUCCGUCCUGUAAGAGAUCAGCAGAUAGCGCUGGAGGAGGGAGAUGAGAGGGGGGCGGGGGGGAGAGCAGCCUCGAAUCUGGCAUAGCAAUCAGCAAAACAGAGUCAUCGCUCAUUCCUUGUUAAUUCUGCAAAAGCAUGGAAAUAUGGUUCAACUUCUGAAUUUAAGUCCAGAUUGCAAAACUGCUUCCUUCGAAAUCUCUCAAAUGCCGCCAGUGGUUCACUAUCCAAAGUCCAUUCAGUAGUAUCUCUCUGUCCAAGGUAGGCUACAUCUGGAUUUUUCUCAAGCUCAGCAUACUCAGGGGUCCCUGGUUCAGGCAUGAAUCGACGGCUUAAGGAUGGACGGUUAGGG